rnacentral:rRNA from 1 species
UACGUAGGGUGCAAGCGUUGUCCGGAAUUAUUGGGCGUAAAGAGCUCGUAGGCGGUUUGUCGCGUCGAAUGUGAAAACCCGGGGCUCAACCUCGGGUCUGCAGUCGAUACGAGCAAACUAGAGUGUUGCAGGGGAGACUGGAAUUCCUGGUGUAGCGGUGAAAUGCGCAGAUAUCAGGAGGAACACCGGUGGCGAGGGCGGGUCUCUGGGCAACAACUGACGCUGAGGAGCGAAAGCGUGGGGAGCGAACAGG